rnacentral:rRNA from 1 species
AUUGAACGCUGGCGGCAGGCCUAACACAUGCAAGUCGAACGGUAACGGGAAACAGCUUGCUGUUUCGCUGACGAGUGGCGGACGGGUGAGUAAUGUCUGGGAAACUGCCUGAUGGAGGGGGAUAACUACUGGAAACGGUAGCUAAUACCGCAUAACGUCGCAAGACCAAAGAGGGGGACCUUCGGGCCUCUUGCCAUCGGAUGUGCCCAGAUGGGAUUAGCUAGUAGGUGGGGUAACGGCUCACCUAGGCGACGAUCCCUAGCUGGUCUGAGAGGAUGACCAGCCACACUGGAACUGAGACACGGUCCAGACUCCUACGGGAGGCAGCAGUGGGGAAUAUUGCACAAUGGGCGCAAGCCUGAUGCAGCCAUGCCGCGUGUAUGAAGAAGGCCUUCGGGUUGUAAAGUACUUUCAGCGGGGAGGAAGGGAGUAAAGUUAAUACCUUUGCUAAUUGACGUUACCCGCAGAAGAAGCACCGGCUAACUCCGUG